AUUGAACGCUGGCGGCAUGCCUUACACAUGCAAGUCGAACGGCAGCACGGGAGCAAUCAUGGUGGCGAGUGGCGAACGGGUGAGUAAAGUAUCGGAAUGUGCCGAGUCGUGGGGGAUAACGUAGCGAAAGUUACGCUAAUACCGCAUACGAUCUAUGGAUGAAAGCGGGGGAUCGCAAGACAUCGCGCGAUUGGAGCGGCCGAUAUCAGAUGAGGUAGUUGGUGGGGUAAAGGCUCACAAAGCCGACGAUCUGUAGCUGGUCAGAGAGGACGGGCAGGCACACUGGGACUGAAGCACGGCCCAGACUCCUACGAGAGGCAGCAGUGGGGAAUUUUGGACAAUGGGCGAAAGCCUGAUCCAGCCAUGCCGCGUGCAGGAUGAAGUCCUUCGGGUUGUAAACUGCUGUUGUACGGAACGAAAAGGUUUGGCCUAAUAAGCUGAGCUCAUGACGGUACCGUAAGAAUAAGCACCGGCUAACUACGUGCCAGCCGCCGCGGUAA
rnacentral:rRNA from 1 species